CGACCCUCAGCAAGUCUUCCCCGUGCAGGCUGGGGGGAACUGAAGGGGACGGGACGGAGACGGGGUUUCUCCAUGUUGGCCAGAAUGGUCUUGAACUCCAGACCUCCAGUGAUUUGCCUGCCUCGGCCUUCCAAAGUGCUGGGAUUACAUGCGUGAGCCACCACGCCCGCCUCCUGUCCACAAUCUAACUGUCAAACAAAGAUGGGCUAAUUAAACGGAUGCCAACUAAUCGGAAAACUUCUGGAAUUGCCGUCCCUGGAAAUCCUAGCAAGACACAGGACCCAGAAUCCUCCCCAUUAAUAUUGACGCUGUAGUGACCAAUCACCAUUAAGAGGUGCCAGAAAGGAACUGGAACUGGCAAGUAGUCAGGUCUUUCAGCGGCACCCCCAGAAAUCCUGUCCUAUAAAUGGUACUUCACUCUAAUGCAAACUUUGCUAAAUGUUUUAACCUUGUUGUGUAACGCGGGGGUAAAAAGAGUACUUGAUAGGGUUAACACAUAUAAUGCAUUUAGAAGAGCAAUUCGCAGGUGGUUAACAUCUGUAACAUUUGCUAUUAUUAUUAUUGGUAGUAAAAAUUAUCUAGCAUCUGUAAACACUUGCUAUUAUUAUUGAUACUAAAAGUUAUCCAUGAGCUUUUUUUCUUCUUCUUCUUACUAUGCAAAGUUGGGAUUCUGAAGUGAACAGCUGCACGGUGUUAUCAUCUUUCUACACAUUCACACAUAACAAUCUUAAUGAUAUAUCACAAUGAAUAAUUUGACGUUAUUUAGCUCUCCUUACUCUGAGCUGUGGACUGCAUCAAACCCAACUCGAAUAGCGUUCCU
rnacentral:lncRNA from 10 species